GCGUGCGAGGCGAUUGUUUUCGGCGGUAAUUAUCGUCAUAUCUUUGUACCGGCGACGUUAUACGACUGUGUUCGUGUUGUGAAGUGAUCUGGCCGCGUCGGUGAACGCUCUCGGUGAUGUCAGUGAUGUUCAAAUCCACCGUUGUUACCGGCAAUUGCAAAAAAGCAGUGCAACUUCGACAACUCGUGUGAGUACGACGGCCACACGGGCGAUCAGCGGCGGCGGGCCGCCAUGUGCGCUGGAUCGGCGGGCCCAGGAGUGCGUGCUGUAGAGCUGCGAACCUGUGCCUAUUUGGAAUAAAGUGGGACGUCAACAAUAAUAAGAACGCCACCCAUGAAAGCAGAACCCCGGGCUCUCCAUUGGAACUUUAGAGUGGACCACCGCACCGGUAUGACGGUCACCUGGAGGCCCAGGAGUCAUCAGGACAAAUAAUUCUGAAUAUAUAUAAAUGAUAUCUAAUGUGUUUGUGAUGACGGAGCAAUUAUGUCAAAAUGAAACACAUAUUUAAAAAUGUUUUUUUCUCUUGUUAGCAAUGUAUUCAUAAAAAACUUCACUUGGAUCUCUCUGCAUUCACCCAACCACUGCGGCAUGUAUACAGAGUGUGCUCCGCAAGACAAAAGAUUUUUUAUGUUGCUUGGCUCCCAAAAGAGUUCUUCAAUUCAAAUACGUACAAGGUGUGUUCGAAAAGAAACCAAACUUUUGCUUUAACAUCUUUAUUGCUUAUUGUACAACAUUUUAUGCAUGGCCCCUUCAAAGUAGUCCCCUCUUCUGGCAAUACAUUGUUCCUAUCAUCUCAUCCAUUUUUUGAAAGCCUCCUGGAACACUUUUUCUGGGAUGGCGCGUAGGUCUCGUGUCGCAUUGUCUUGAAAUUUCUUUUAUGUGUUGGAAACGACGUCCUUUCAACGUGAUUUUAAGUUCGGGAAACAGGAAAAAGGCUUCUUGGGCUAGGUCUGGAAAGUACGGUGGGUGGGGCACGAGAGUGUGAUGUUUUGCUAGAUAGCCGCAUACAAGGAGAGACGCGUGAACUAGGUCAUUGUCAUGUUGCAACAAUUAAGUCUGGCUUUCCCACAAUUCAGGCUUCCUACUGGACACAGCAUCCCACAAACGCGCUAGAAUUCCUUGGUAGACCGCCUUGUUUCUCACCACGUGGUACAAAUUCCUGAUGGACUAUAUCUUUCCAGUCGGAAACCACCACCAUUACCUUGAUUUUUUUGCUGACUCUUGCGUGCUUUCUUGGACGAGAAGACUGUUCGCCCACCCACUGCGACGACUGCACUUUUGUUUCAAUAUCAGAGCCAUAAACCCACGUCUCAUUGCCUGUUGUGAUGUUACAGAAGUUUUCAUUAUCUCUGCCAGUGGCAUGCAGUUCCCGGCUUAUUUCAACACAGGUGUUUCUGAUCGACAGUCAACAAACGCGGCACGAAUUUUGCACUGACACGAUGCAUCUCAAGUUUGUCAUUCACAAUAGGAUGCCAUGAUCCUAUGCUGAUGCCCACUUCGUCAGCUAGUUCUCAAACAGCUAAACGACGAUUUCCACGAAUCACAGCACGCACUCUCUCGACAUGGUCAUCAUCUGUUAAUGUGGAAGGUCGUCCAGGCUUGGGAUCGUCACCAACCGACAUUCUGCCUUGUUCAAAAUGCUUAAACUACUCAUAGCACUGAGUGCGACUCAUA